ACAUAUUUAUUUUUCGUUCAUUUUUUUUACAUAAAUAAGGCCGUUAGUUUUCUCGUUUGAAUUGUUUUACAUUGUCUUAUCGGUGCCUUUUAUAGCUGACUAUGCGGUAUGGGCUUUGCUCAUUGUUGAAGGCCGUACGGUGACCUAUAGUUGUUAAUGUUUGUGUCAUUUUGGUUUUUUGUGGAUAGUUGUCUCAUUGGCAAUCAUACCACAUCUUCUUUUUUAUA
rnacentral:lncRNA from 1 species